rfam:Salmo salar isolate Sally breed double haploid chromosome ssa04, whole genome shotgun sequence.
UGCAUGCAUGACAGUAAGUCGUUUUGGAUAAAAACAUCUGCUAAAUGGCAUAUA